rnacentral:lncRNA from 1 species
UUUCAUUCUCCUCAUUUUCCUGACACGUGUUGGUCUUUAUUUUUUUAUCUCCCACUUCCAUUUUUUGACUUCAAUAUCAGCCAUCUCGCUGAUUUCCUUCUUCUUCAAUGCUCUCUUCUUCUUCUUCUUCUUCUCUGGUUUUUCCCUCUUCUUAAUUUUGUUGUUCUUUUCAUUUUGGUUCUUGAAAAACUAUGAGCUUUGUUUCACGAUUCUUUUUCUAUAUGUAUUCUUGGUCCGUCUGAUGUUACAGAUUUCUGAAGUAUUUCAUGUGAGUAAUUUCUUUUACUUUAUGAAAAAUUGAUAUUUUAACCUAAGAUUUUAAAUUCGAGUUUUACGAAUUCAAUGUGACCAAGCAAUUGAAAGACACGUUGGGGUUUUUGGAGUGCAGGAGGAAUAAACGGGUGAAGGUUGCAAGGAAGCUGCUUCAUAGUGAUCUAUGGGCGGCUUAUAUUGAUAGGUAAUGAAUGAAUAUUUCUUCCUGAGAAAACUAAUAGGAACUUUUUAUGGGCUCUUUUAAUUUUUUAUAUCAAUUAUCAUGAUUUUUGUUAAUUGGUAAUAAGUGGAUUGUAAUUACGAGUUUCAGAUACAUUGGUAUUUCAUUUAUAAGGAAAUGGUUUCAGGAUGAUAACCUCCUAAACAUGCUUCAUAUAACUUUUUUUUGAAUGUUAGUUUGGUUUCUACUUUCAUCCUGUCUGGUUCGUAUCUUGCGUACUUAUGAAUAUUUUUUUUGAUUUAUCACUGGUUUGCAUUUACAGUAUCUAAGAUUCCAUAGAUAUUGUCAGUUCAAUUCUUCUCCCCUUUCUUCUACUGUUCUUAACUUUAUUGUUUCUUUGUUCGCAUUUCUCCCUCUAUUUGGCAUAAAGCUUUCUUUAAAUGUGUGAGUUUUAUUUGGUCAAUGUUUAAACAUAGAUCUACACUGAUACUCAGGCCAACUAAAUUCUUCAAAAAAUUAAAAAGAAAACAAAAUAUGUAAGAUAAACAGGGUAAAUUGUCCUUACAGAACUAAAAAGACCUACAUUUUUAGUUUUAGUUGUUAAUUCCCUCGACUGGCAAACUGCGGCCUCUUCAGUUAUAAUAACAUGAAAGGACAUAAGGGUGUUGUUGCUAUCUCUAAACUUGUGAAGCACUCUUCAAUGUUAGAGGAUUUCAGGUGUUCAUCUACAAUGAUUGGAUCUGAUGAAGAUAAGGGUGUUGUAUACUCUAUUUCUCAUUUGAAGUAUGCACCAACUUAAAGGAGCUUGAUUGGCAUGACAAGAUGUUUAUUGAGGAAGCAUAAAUUGUGUUGAGCAAAGUCAUAUCAACUCUAUUUUUCAAACUUAACUGAAAUCCAGCCGAGUCACCUGAAUUUGGGAGGAUAAGGACUCCACCUUAAUAAAUUUGUUUCAUCCCUGAAGUUCUAGAAGACAUCACCAUCAAACCUGCUCUUGCUUUGGCCACCUGUAUAACUGCAAAAUAAUUUCUUACCAAGUUGAACUUUGCAAAGAAUGAAUUGAAAGAUGAGGGUGCUGUCUUAAUUGCAAAGGCAUUAAAAGAUUUAAGAUUUCCUCGGAUAGGGCAGAAAUGAAAAGUUAAUUGCUAGACUUUCCAGAUUAAUGACAUUGUGUGUUCCUACUUCCUUUUUCUACCAUUUUUGAGCAUAAAAAAAUUAUAGGAACAUGUUUGUGAUCCUCUUUAGAUUACAGUCAUAUUCUGAAAUAUAAAUUCACUAGAAUAGGAGAACCAUCUUAACUGAUUAAACUUUUGUUAAGAAUGUGUUGGUUCCCCAAGUACACGUAAGUAUACGUGGCCGUCAAGUAAUAAAGUGACUCGAAAGUCGGAUGUCGAAUCCAGAGAGACUUAGAUUAACCGUUAACUAAGCAACCUAAAUUAAUUUACUGUCCAAGAUGAUCUAAAGUUUAACUUUUCUAUUACAACUACUAUUGCAAAAUUUAAACACGUAACCCAAGGGAGAUAUAGAUUCCAGGGUUGUGGUCGGUUUAUCAAUCCUAUUGAGUUCGUAAUUACACCUGUUAAUCCAAAUUAUCUAUGAUUGCUAGUUGACCGGAUCGUUUAUAUAAAUAUUUUGUUCCCACAAUACUAUCUGUCUAUACAUAAUAUAUCAACCCUAUAUUCCUAUGGUCUUGAAUCUAUCAUGAAUGAAUAUAAUACGGUAUUCAACUAAGCAAGACUGUUAGGUAUUCCUAUCCUAACCACGAAAUCUUUCUCCGAGCUACGGGUUUAGAAACAAGCUCUCUCCAAUUUUACUCUAAUCUAAGCACGGCUUUCCCAAGCAUAGCAUAGAUAGUAAAUAGAACUCAACUGCUGGCCAAACAAUUAAGAAAUUAUGCACAGAAUUAGAGAAACAACCAAAGAUGAUAAAUCGAAUUAACGGCAAUAUAAUUAAUAAACUUCAAUAUUCAUGACAACUACAACCCUAGAACGUGAAGUUUAUCUCUACAUAGACAUUGUAGCAAAACAAUAAAUCAUCAAAAAAAAGUAAAGAUUACUAAGUUUGAUGGAAGAAAGAUGGAAUUUGAUGAAUUCUGGCCUCCACGGCGGCUCCGUGCUCUCCCUUUGUCUAAAGUCUGUCCAAAAUUGUCCUCUCCCUUAAACAAUGGUGUUUAAUGACUAUUUAUAUAUGUAGGGAAAAAACUUAGACGAAAUAAGCAAGUCCAAAACCAAAAAGGAGACAAAAUAGGCUUGAGACCCGGACCACGCGUCGCCACGCAAAACGCGCGACGGACCUCGCGUCAAACUGCGCCUAGCGAUCUCAAACGCGCGGAAUUUCUCUCGCGUCGCCUGUCACUGUUUCAUUUUCAAUUUUGAUGCCAAACUUUUUCCUAACUUUCUCGUUUCUUUUCUUUGCUUUUCAACUCUUAGUUCUCUUCUUUUUUUUUUUAUUAUCACCCCAUCAUUAUGUCUUCAAUCAUCAAAUCAUGACAUCAUAAUAUUUCCCAUCAUCAAAUAAUCACGAGCCAUUCUUGUAGUGCAUAAAAUACACAUAAAUUUUUUAGUUCGCUCCCAAUUUCAUCUUCAAAGUACCUACACAUAAAAUACAUUCAAUUAAGCAUAAAUAUAGUAUAAUUUAGCAUUAAAGCACCUAAAUGUAACGUAAGUAAUGCACUAAAAAUAUAUAAUUAUAGCCAAACAUCACUAUCUCACACUUAAACGUUGCUCGUCCUCGAGUCAACCAACAAUUCACACUAUCCUUGAGCACUUUGUUUUUACACAAUUGAGGCACACUACACCAAUGACAUGGUUUAUAACAACAAUUAAACUUUAGCAUGUGCAAUCACAUACACUUCCCUUUUCUUAUGCCAUACUUCACUAAUAUUCACAACAAAGACAACAUGCUCCUAACAGUCCUACCCUCAAAAACCAACUCAAUGUCACAAUGCACUCAUGGCUUGAACACCCAACAAUACCAUAGAGAGAAGUUUAAUAACCUUACCUAUCCCUUAUGAAACCAUGUGCCCUUACAACAAGAACAAGAGAGUAAGUUGAAUCCAUACAUUCAAAUCAAAUGCUCAAAUAUAUUUUAAGGACUCAUAUAUAUCAAAGAAAAUCUCUCUCUCUCACAAAAGAAGUCACAUGCAUGCAAUUGACACCAUAGGCUUGCCCUUAAUGUAAAUCUCUACUAAUGUAGGUUCACUCAGUCUAAAAUCAAUUAGGACUUUUUUAUGGUUGUAAUGUGGGCUAAGGGACGGGAAGAAUAUAUUUAGGAAUAGUGGCUAACCCUCCUAGGCACUUUAACACAUCACAUAAUCAACUGUAAGCGCAAAUUCUUCAAUCGCAAUUUUAAUUUCACAACUAAAAUCAUCCCUAACAACGUUACCUCUUUCUUUAAGCACUACUUUAAUUCAUUCCCACUAGGAAGAACAAAAUAUCAGUUUAUUCAUCUAAUUUUUUUUUUCUUUCUCUUUUGCAAUUUCUACUAGUGGUGUAUUCUUUUACAAAACAAGUGCACCUUUCACUGGUUCCACUCAAAAGUCACCCCAUACUUAGUCCCUUCUUACUCCUUUUAGCACUCAUCUCACAAUUAAAGUGUUUUAAGAGGUAAAAGGAUCAAAACAAUGUCAAUUUAGAAUAAAAGAGGUUUAGGCUUGUAAUGUGGGAGCCAAAUAAAAGUCUAUAAGCUCAAAAUGGUUAACUAGGGAUAUAUUUUAUUUGUGAUAAGUAUUAAACUAAAAAAAAAUAAAGAUAGCCUAAAAUCAUUUUUCAAACCGAGUAUCACCUAAAAUUUCGCUUCGACUCACAUACCGGGCAAGUUCUAGACACAAUUACAAUACAUAGACUACACAAAAAUCUCACCACACAUGGCACAUGACUCACUAAGGACGGUUUCAUUCCGACUCUCAAACUAAUGCAAGUAUUCACGGAGCCACGAGAUGUUAAGCAUUAAGCAUAAAGUGAACAUAAGUCAAGAAAAUAAGACAUAGGCGUCACAAAACAUGCUAUCCAUAUAACCAAGGCAUCAUAAGCACUUUUAGCACAUAGGGAAGAUACUACGCAUGCCAAAGCCUAAAUAUGCUACUAUCAACCAAGUCAAGGGCGCCUAGGAAUCUCAUCUUUCUUCCUCCAUUUAUUCCUUAAUUUCUAAUCUGCUCUAAAAAAUAAAAAAAAUAAAAGGAAAAAAUACUAACCCGGUUNNNNNNNNNNNNNNNNNNNNNNNNNNNNNNNNNNNNNNNNNNNNNNNNNNNNNNNNNNNNNNNNNNNNNNNNNNNNNNNNNNNNNNNNNNNNNNNNNNNNNNNNNNNNNNNNNNNNNNNNNNNNNNNNNNNNNNNNNNNNNNNNNNNNNNNNNNNNNNNNNNNNNNNNNNNNNNNNNNNNNNNNNNNNNNNNNNNNNNNNNNNNNNNNNNNNNNNNNNNNNNNNNNNNNNNNNNNNNNNNNNNNNNNNNNNNNNNNNNNNNNNNNNAAUUAAGCUACUAAAAUACUACACAACUACGAAAACAAAAAUACGAAGCUAAAAUCAAAAUAAGAAGUUAACAUUUUCUAACAUACUACUACAUAUUUUGAGGAAUUCUCCCACCUCACACUUAAAGGAGUGCAGUGUACCCAAUGCACAAAUAAAGCAAAACAAUAACGAGGGAGGACAAGAAACUCCCUGAAAGGCCAAAGGCUGAAGUAAUAGCGGCUCACGGGUACUCAGACUUCCCCCAGACAUGGUCCUUUGUGUGGUCACCCCACACUUUGUUCUCACCAUCUAGCUCACUUUUGCACUCUUCCAAUGGCUUUUCCUCCUAUGCUUAUAAUCCUACAAAACAAAAACAGACACUACAACAAUAAUAAGAUAAAAAUAAAAAUAAAAAAAAGCAGUAAAACUGGGUUGCCUCCCAACAAGCGCCCGAUUUAACGUCGCGGCACGACUUGUAGCACUUUUUGUCUCCACCUUGAACUUAUGAAUUGUACCCCUAACAAGGCAUCUAGUCUGUGGCUAUGCUCCUUCGGUGGGGCUACAAAGUAAACCAGGCCAAGCAAUAAAAUUUUUGCUCUACACCUCUUGACCUUUAGAUGAGGAAUGUAAUUUUUGCUUUUUGACACAACACAUUCAAGAACAUAGGCACCCCGUUCCUCGUCCAUUGGCUCCUCCAAAUGCUCAGAUGACUCGAUUUCCAUGUCAUCAUCCAAACACAAUGUUGAAAAAUAUAUGGAAUGAGGACCAAUACGCCCCAACUCUAGAAUUGUAUUACUCUUUAUAUUCUCAUAUGUACACACAUUGGAGUCUUCAAAUAUAAUAUUAUCUACUUCCUCACAUGACUCUAGAACACUCAUCUCAGCAUUGGCAUCCUCAAGAAAAAUAUGGUCUAAUGCUUGGUAUUCUCGUUUUAGCUCCUCAAUUUGGUCUAGAAGAUUUUUUUCAGUUUCACACAACUCAUCAUUAAAUUGUUGGGCGUUGAACGCAUCAACCUUUGCACUCAAAUCUGCAUCCAAGUUGUGCAAAGCCAAGCCAAACUUGUCAAAUUUUUGUGCAAGAUCAACUCUCUCCUUCGACUAGUCAUUCACCAACUUUGUUAGAAGAUAACGUCGUUCCUCAUAUUUCCUUAAUCGUGAAUAUUCGUUCCAAUACCAAGCUUUACUCCCAUAUUCAAAUUCAGACCUUCCAGAGUUCAGGUCAUGACAAGCCCCAAAAGACGGGCCAUAAAAAUCUUCCGUCAACCAAGCGUCUUCAUCAAUAACCUUACCUCCGGAUAUUUCAUCCCCAGAUAUCAUGUUGAGAGAACAAUGAACACACUAAGAGAAAGAUCAAACUGUUAUAAAAAUAAAAAAAUUUACAAAAAGAAAAAAAUAAACAAAACCUAUAAAUAUAAAAGUAAAAGUCUAAUCUAGAAAAAUAACUAAAUAAGAAAAUUAAAAACUUGAACAAAAAUCAAUUAAAAGUUUAACUUAGAUAAACAAUCAAUAACUAAGUCCCCGGCAACGGCGCCAAAAACUUGUUGGUUCCCCAAGUACACGCAAGUAUACGUGGCCGUCAAGUAAUAAAGUGACUCGAAAGUCGGAUGUCAAACCCAGAGAGGCUUAGAUUAACCGUUAACUAAGCAAUAUAAAAUCAAUUUACUGCCCAAGAUGAUCUAAAGUUUAACUUUUCUAUUACAACUACUAUUGCAAAAUUUAAACAUGUAACCAAGGGAGAUAUAGAUUCCAGGGUUGUGGUCGGUUUAUCAAUCCUAUUGAAUUCGUAAUUAUACCUGUUAAUCCAAAUUAUCUAUCAUUGCUAAUUGACCGGAUCGUUUAUAUAAAUAGCAUGUUCCCACAAUGCUAUCCGUCUAUCCAUAAUAUAUCAACCCUGUAUUCCUAUGGUCUUGAAUCUAUCAUGAAUGAAUAUAAUAUAGUAUUCAACUAAGCAAGACUCUUAGGUAUAUUCUUAUCCUAACCACGAAAUCUUUCCUCGAGCCACGGGUUCAGAAACAAGCUCUCUCCAAUUCUACUCUAAUCUAAGUACGGAUUUCCCAAGCAUAGCAUAGAUAGUAAAUAGAACUCAAUUGCUGGUCAAACAAUUAAGAAAUUAUGCACAGAAUUAGAGAAACAACCAAAGAUGAUAAAUCGAAUUAACGGCAAUAUAAUUAAUAAACUUCAAUAUUCAUGACAACCACAACCCUAAAACGUAAAGUUUAGCUCCACAUAGACAUAGUAGCAAAACAACAAAUCAUCAAGAAAAAGUAAAGAUUACUAAGUUUGAUGGAAAAAAGAUGGAAUCUAAUGAAUUCCGGCCUUCACGGCGUCUCCGUGCUCUCCCUUCGUCUAAAGUCUGUCCAAAAUCGGUUUCUCCCUUAAAAAAUGGUGUUUAAUGACUAUUUAUAUGUGUAGGGAAAAAACUUAGACGAAAUAAGCAAGUCCAAAACCAAAAAGGAGACAAAAUAGACUUGAGACCCGGACCACGUGUCGCCACGCAAAACGUGCGACGAACCUCGCGUCAAACAGCGCUAGCGAUCUCAAACGCGCGGAAUUUCUCUCGAGUCGCCUGCUGUUGUUUCGUUUUCAAUUUUGCUGCCAAACGUUUGCCUAACUUUCUCGUUUCUUUUAGGCUUUUCAACUCUUAGUUCUCUUUUUUUUUUUUAAUUAUCACCCCAUCAUUAUGUCUUCAAUCAUCAAAUCAUGACAUCAUAAUAUUUUCCAUCAUCAAAUAAUCACGAGCCAUUCUUGUAGUGCAUAAAAUACACAUAAAUUUUUUAGUUCGCUCCCAAUUUCAUCUCCAAAGUACCUACACAUAAAAUACACUCAAUUAAGCACAAAUAUAUUAUAAUUUAGUAUUAAAGCACCUAAAUGUAAGGUAAGUAAUGCACUAAAAAUAUAUAAUUAUAGCCAAACGUCAUAAUGCAAGAUAGAAAACACCUCUAAUAUCCUUCAGUUGCCUAGAGUUUCAAGCUUCGUAGCAUUCUUAUUCAUAAGUUCUCAGGAAUAUGUAACACUCAAUGCAUUAUUUGUUUAUGCCCUUGAACUCUUUUCUUCUUUCUAAUUUUCUUUUGUAUUGGAAAGCAGGUGCAACUUGAACAAUUUUGUGUCUCUGGGAGUAAAAUAAGGGAGCUUGCUAUGCCAUGAUCCACGAGUAUGUCAAUCAUCGUGCUUACAUAACUUUUAAAAUUACAAAAUCUCCUUUUCUCUCUCUUUCGCUAUUCUGCUAUUUCCUUUAUGCUUUGCUACUUCAACAGUUGAAUGAGAAGUUCAGGAUGUCAUCUUUCUUUAGGUGAGUGGUUCAAUUCUUCUGGGCUUCUCUGGAUCUAUAUGUUUGAAUUUUCUUCUCUUUUUAUCUUUAUAUUUCGUUCAUGAAUUCUGUUUUUGUUUUCUUCUGAGUUUACUUUAUGCUUGCUACAAUCUUCUAGCAUCUACUGUGUUUGUGAAGUCAGGUAAAUUUUCUUCCAUGUUUCUUUAUUUCUUGCGUUGUGUUCCCACUUCUGGCUUUCACUUUUAGAUUUCUAUGAACUUUUUGUCUAUUUUUUGUUUGAUGUUGGUUUCUCUGUUCUUUUAAAUAAUUUCUUGCAAGAUUUUCUACAUGCAUGUCUGGUAUUUUAUUUGAUUUUUAUAUGCAUGUUUGGAAAGAAAUACCUAGGUGCAUGUCCUUAAUUUCUGAUUUUGGUUUUGUUCUGAGUUUAGCUGUAUUAAUGGGGGUUUUGGUGUAAAAAUUUGUUAUUUAAACGCGAAGAUUGUGUCCUUUAUCUACUGGUUAUUCACUCUUUUUGAGUUUCUCCACUUUUCUUCUAUUUGUAUAUGGUGUGAGAUUUUUGAUUGCAAAGUUACUUGUGCAAGCUGCGUUUUUCUAAAUAAAAGCUGCUAAGAUAAAACUUUCUUUAACUGGGGUAGUGGCGGUUUUUCACGUUACAGCCAACGUCACAUUCAUCGGUGAGUAUUUUGAUUCAAAAUUCACUUAUGUUUGUUUCGUGAUACAUUGAAGUGCUUGAAUUAACCCUAUACAUUUUAUAUGUGGAUGUUCGUUUUCCUGGUCCUAUUCUUUUUGUCAUUCUGAAAGAAAACUGUGUUAGAGUUGUUAACCAAUUCCUAUUGACUUCUGAUUUAAAAUAGAAGCUUCUGACUUUAUAGCUGAAUAUAGUCUAUAGUAGAUUUCUUUAACUGGUUUCUAUAUUCUAAACCAUAUACAUUAUACCUUAUAUAUGUCUCCUCAAGUUCCUAUAUUUUACUCUCCAGUACUUUGCAUCAGUAUUAAAGUAAUUAAGUUACCUAAUGCUUCUCUAGAUACUGACUUAACAUACUACUAAGUAUAAAAAUGACAACAGAGAACUGAAAGGAAAAAAAGACUAAGCUACCUGUUAAAAGUCCGAAAAUUAGCGGAGAAGCAAUGUUGGUGAAGGAACAUAUGCAUGUGAUGCAUCCUUGAAAGGAGUUGUGACUCCCCAAACCUGAAAAGGCGUGACCGGCACCCGAUGCCAUACUCGGUCCGAGUGUACCACUCUGUAACUGUGAACUCUGGAGGGGUAACCCUCAACUUAGUCCGAUGAGACCAUAUUCUGAAUCAUCUGAAAAUAUCGUCUCUCAUUUGAAGGGUAAACAUACCCAAAAGCUCAUAUAUGUAUAUAUAAAUAACUGUGCAGGCUGACGAGGCCGCCAUGAACAUCUACUGAUAUACAAAUUAUACAGGAUUCGUCUACAAGCCUCUAAAGAUAGCUGAACUGUAUCAUGGUCGAGACAGGGCCUCGACCUACCCAUCAAACCUGUAUAUAUAAAAUGGACUCCAAGGUCUAGACCUGGUAACUCCGAGGAAGUGCAGUUUACCAACCGAGCUGAUGUUUGACUCUAUCUACUAUGAAGGUCUAUCCAGCUGUCUAUCAGGACCUGCAGGCAUGAAAUGCAGCAUCCCCAGCAAAAAGGGACGUCAGUACGAAAUAAUGUACCGAGUAUGUAAGGCAACAGAAUAACCGAAAGCUGAAACUGAACUGAUAAUAUAAUAACUGAAAGUAACUGGGAGUCAAAGAUGAUCUAAAGAUAUGCUUACCUGNNNNNNNNNNNNNNNNNNNNNNNNNUAAAGUCCCGAUAAGCGAGAAUAUGAUAACUUAUGAGACUAGGAUAAUGUACAUAAAUUCAGGAAUAUGAACUUCUCUUUAUGUUUCGUUAUCAAAUACAUGUAGUUACGGGAUCAUGCCAAAAUGAAGAAAAGGUUUAGUCUUAACAUACCUUAUCACAAUCUGUCCAAUAACCAUGUUAAACGCGUCUCGUUGCACCUUAAUCUACAACAACGAUAACAAUACUAUCAUCAAGUUAUGGAAGGUACAACUAUCGCACAACAAACAACAAGCUUAUUUUAUAAUAAAACGGGCAGCAUCUCCCCUAUAAUCUUUACUUCCUCCCAAUUCGACAUAACACCAACAACAACAAGAACACAAUAAUAACAACAUGUAUACAUUAUUUUCCAACCUUAUAUACAUCACAAAAUAUCACAAGACAGCCCACACAUCCCAAUCAGUUUAUACACAAAACGUAACCCUAGUAGUGUCAAACAACUCGAAAAUGUAACGACGAACGACCAGCCAACCACCCUGCCAUUAUGUGGUGUUUCUCCACACCUUUUCUCCUCCCAAACUCCAUAAAAACAGUAGCAAAAGAGACAACAUAAUAGCAACACGAAACAGCCCCCAAAACAGUCCCACAAGUUCAGCAACUCAAAACUGAUUUUUCAGCUUACUAAAACACAUUUCGACUUGUCUUUUAUUUCAAAUUGAGCAACACAACCAAUAAUACAUAAUUAAGCCUCUUAUACUAUAAACCAGCCAUGAAUUCAACUUAAAAAUAAGUUCACAACCAGCCAACAGUGAUGCAACAACAAACAGCAUACUACUCUAUCGAAACUCGCUAGGUCUAGUCUUUACGAUCGAGUUACAACUCGUACAAGCAUAGAUAAUGGAAGGAAAAGCAUAAAUUUACCUUGGACUGAGUAGAACUCACGAAACCUAGUCCUUAUUCAUCAAAAACCAGUCCCCCAACGCAGCUACAAGAAGGAGAAAGAGAAACUAGCAAGGUGUACGGGGUUUUCGCCACUAGAAUCACAUUGUAUCACCCGAAAUUACCUAGGGUUUGUGUGGGAUUUUUGGGGAGGAGUUGCAAGGGUUCAAUCUGAUUUUGUUGGUCUGAGAAAUGAGUGAAAGGAAUGAGUUAAUAAGUCCUUAAAAGUCCCCUCUUGGCCGACUUUAGGAGUUUUAAUUGAGGCCUCUCAUUUUGGCAAGUAGGUGAUGCACCUACUUGUCACCUACCAGUCUGCGCACUCUCGCAAAAAUACGAAUAUCUCUCUACUACAAUAUUGUAUUAAUGAACAGUUUAAUCCGUUAGAAACUAGACUCAUAGAUCUUCAAUUAGAUAGGUAGAUCAUCCCGUAAUUCCAAGUGCAUUGGGAUAAACGCUCAGCUACAUUUGACCUAAUUUUCAGCAUAUUUAUGAAUGUAACUUCUAAUGAUCUUUGCCAACUUUUGUUCCACAACUCGCUUGACUUCAAAACAUAAUACGCGACUAUCAUAAGACUAAAAUAACUCAUAAUAUAAUAUCCUUAUCAUUUUGAGUACCCUAGUGUCACCCCAUAAGUACAUGUUAUAACAUUCCCAACUUAUCAACUUUCGACGAAACUUAUUUUCUUCAAUUCGUUUAGCUUCUAAGUCUUCCAACCCUCUUGGUACAUGCAGUUCAUGAUCUUAAAUAUUUAUAACCUCCAAGUUAACAUGAUUAACUUACUUUAUGUACUUUCAAAGAUGAUCUCAUUUCUGAGCUUAUAUCAAUUGACUUACGACGUACUCUCACGUACUGUAAUGACCUGACCGGUCGUUUUGAGCUUUAGCGCUUUGUUCGCCGGUUUGAGGCCUUGAGUAGCUUCACAUCAGAUAUUAUGACUUGUACGUGUGGUCGGAAUUAAAUUUUGUGAAGUUCGGAGUUGAUUCGGAUGGAAGAUUCUAAAUUCGGAAGCUUUAAGUUGAAAGAGUUGACUAUGGUUUGACUUUUGAGUAAACGAUCUCGGAAUCGGGAUUUAAAGGUUCCAAUAGGUUCGUAUGAUAAUUUCGGACUUGGGCGUAUGUUCGGGUUGAGUAUCGGGUCGCUCGGGAGCAUUUCGACGCUUAUUAUGGAAAGUUGGCAUUUUGAAGGUUUUAGAAUUUUUUAAAUUUGGUUUGAGGUGGACUUUGGUGUUAUAGAUGUCCGUUUGGGGUUCCGAGCCUUGGAAUAGGUUCGUAUCAUGAUUUAUGACUUGUGCGUAAAGUUUGGCGUCAUUUCGGAAUGUUUAAGUAUGAAUUAGGCGCGUUCGUCAAAGUUUGAAAGUUUAAAAGUUUAAAGAAAGAUUUUGAUCGUCGAUUCAUAGUUUUGAUGUAGUUUGGUGUGAUUUGAGGCCUCAAGCAGGUUUGUAUCAAGUAUUGGGACUUGUUGGUGUGAUUGGACGGGGCCUCGGGUGUGUUUCGGAGGGUCUACGAGUCAUUUCGCCAUGUUGAGCUGCUAUUUUCUGAGGUCUGGUGUGCCUUUCUUCGCGUUUGCAAGGAAAGGGUUGCAUUCGCGAAGAGGAAAAUGGGAGAAAAGAGUCUGUGAAUCGCGUUCGCAGAGGCAGAUUUGCGUUCGCGAAGAAGAAAUUUCUGCUGCACAGGGCUUAUGUUGGAAGCUUAUAUUUUGCAAUCUGUAAGGAAUUUGGAGAUGAUACAAAAAUGAAAGUUGUAGACCUUGGUGUCUAGUUUUUAGAAUGUCAAACCAUUUGGAAUUUGGAGUUUUGUACAAAAGGUUAUGACUAUUAUACUCGAGGCUGUCUGGAGGAGUUGGGCAGCUUGCUCUUCGCGAUCGCGAUUGGUUUUCCGCGAUCGCGAAGGGCAAUUUUGAGCUGAGAAAAGUUGUGCUUUGCGCUCGCAAAGAAUUUUUCGCGAUCGCAAAGGGUUAAUACCUGGGCAUAAGCUAUAUUUCAGAGGUUUGACUCAUUGUCACCUCAUUCCUUCCAUGAGAACCGACUUUGGGGCGAUUUUGGAGUGCCAUUUUCAUCAUCAAAUUUUAGGUAAGUGAUUUCUACACCUUGUGAGUUAAAUACAUGGUUUAUAUGUGGGUUAAAAUAUGAAUAUUUAUGGAAAUUGUGGGAUUUUAAGAGAAAAACCUAGAAUUUAAUAUUUUUGGAUUUUUACCACGAAAUUGAACAUGGAAUUGGAAAUAAAUCAUAUAUUUGAGUUCGUAGUGUUAUGGAAUCCGGGCACGUGGGUCUGAGGGUUGACUUUAUUGACUUUUUGAGCGGAGUUGAGAAUUGUUAUGAAUUGAUUUAUUAUGAGUAUUAGAGUAUAUUUUUAUUGGUUUGCACAUUGUUUGACUAGUUUUGGAGCAACGGGCAUCGAUUUGGGGUGUUAGAGUGGCGUUGAAGCCGGUUAUGGAACUUCAGAGCGAGAUAAGUCUCAUGUCUAACUCUGUGAGGGGGAAACUACCCCUUGGUGAUGUAUUUGAUAUGUGCUACUUGUUGCAAGGGCUACGUACGCACGAGGUGACGAGAGUCCGUACGUAGCUAGAUUCAUGUUAUGUCCGGGUAGACUUAGGUUCCCGCCAUACUAUAACUGUACUAUUUGAGCUGCCCAUUGCCUAUUAAAUUCGUUUAUUUUACGUUACAACUUGAGACUAGACUUGCGUAGAGUGAUAGACUUGCUAUUGUAGAGAUUUGACGGGUUGCAUGAUUAGCUGCAGAAUAAUUAUACUCCUCUUACGAAUUUCUCCCGUGCUAUGCGUUUUCCUCGAAAGGUUUUCCUUAAAAUCUAUAACUCACAUGUUUAUUCGUGAGUGGGGUCAAGGACCCGUUAAAGUUUCUUAUUCUAAUGGGAUUGGGCCGUUCGCCUCGGCAGCAUAAUAGAUACAUUUAUGAUUUGUGUCGUUCGACCCUCGGCAGUGCGCACAUUAUGAUGGGAUCGGGCCAUUCAGCUCCCCAAGAUUAUGUAUCACACUCUCAUGGGAGUGGGCCGUUCGCCUCGGCAAUAUAAUAGAUGUAUUCAUGGUUCGUGUCGUUCGACCCUCGGUAGUGCACAUAUUAUGAUGGGAUCAGGUCGUAUGCCUCGGCAUUUUUAUAAAAUACUCUUAUGGAAUCGUGCGUAAAUAUUUGACAAAAAGCCAGUGUAUCUGUGAGUUUUUCCUGAUUUGAACUGUGACGACCUAUCUGGUGAGGCCCAUUAUAUAUAUACUCCGGUUGAGGAGGUAACUGCUAAUUGAGAGCUCAAGUUUAUUGUUGAGAGGAGGAUUGUACCACGUAUUAUACUUGUUAUUCCGUGUAUUUACUCUGCCUCACAUCUGUUUACUUCUAUUGUAUUUGUCUUAUUGGGCCACUAGUAAGUGUCGAUGUCGACCCCUCUUCACUACUUCUCUGGGGUUAGUCUAGAUACUUACUGGGUACGCGUUGAUUUACGUACUCAUGCUACACUUGCUGCACUUAUUGUGCAGGUAAUAUAUAUUUCUGGUGGUCCUCUGGGCGCAGAGGCACAACAUUUGCGGGGACUUUACGGUGAGCUGCAUUCCAUGUUACGAUCCGCAGCAUACAGAGUCUCCAUCAAAGUUAUUUAUAUUCUCCUGUCUAACUUGUAUUCCAGAUAGAUGUUGUAUUUUAUUAUAUUUCCUAGUUAAUGCUCAUGCACGGGUUUUGGGGGUUCCUACAAGUUGUUUAUUAUUGUUGUUCGUGUAAAUAUUAUCAUUUAUCCUGUAAAUUCUAUUUUAUACUAUUUAAUUAAUGAAAAUUAUGAUUUCAAAGUAAUAAAAUGAGUAAACAAGUCGAUCAAUCACCGUUGGCUUGCCUGACGGCGGUGUUAGGCGCCAUUGCGACCUAUAGUAGAUUUUGGGUCGUGACAACUUAGUAUUAGAGUGUUAGGUUCACUUGCGUCUCACGAGUCAUGGGCAAGUCUAGUAGAGUCUUGCGGAUCGGUACGGAGAUGCCUGUACUUAACUUCGAGAGGCUACAGAGCCAUUAGGAGCACUUCCUUUCUUGAUUCCUCAUCGUGCGAUUUGAUUCCUUUGAGGCUUAUGCUUUUAUUUCCUUCCUACUCAAUCUUGUGCGACAUGAAACGCUUGUUAUCAAUGGGACAUCGAGGAGUUGUAGUGGUACUGCAGACGUGGUACAGGAUGUUUUUUUUCCUGCGUAUUCGGGCAGGCUAUCAUCAUCGCCUUGUGGAAGGAUGUUCUGUCAUUCAGCUCAGUAUCUGUAUUUCCUAUGGUUUUGAGGCUAUGCACAGAUUGCUAUGAUGUUCAUGCAUUGUUAUCGCACAGUGUUGGUGUUAUGGUAGGGUGCUUGUUUAUGUGUCGAGGCAGUGAAUGACUUGAAAGGAGGAUUUCUCAUUGCAUGAUUUAGAGAUUCGGUAUUUAGUUCCAGCGGAGGAAAGGCAAUUGGACUAUAGAUGUCCAGACUUUGGUUGAUGGAGUAAUGAGACUUGAUAUUUUCGAGCACGGUGGAAUUCUCAUUCGUGAUGUGGUGUCAUCGUCCUUGUUGAAUGCAUUAAGGUUCGUCGGUGUUAUGGUCUUCUUGAUUUGCCUUCGGGGCAGGGUGUUAUGAAAUGGUGCCUUAGAAGCGGUUGUCAAAGAUGGUGGUGUGUAGCGGUUUCAGAACUGAAUCGGUGUUUCUAAUGUUGAUGGCUCGAGAAAGAUGAUCUGUGACGAGGUUUAGAGUUGGUAGCAAUAUAUUAGUUCGGGUGCUACAAAGAUGGAUUUCGAUUUGAGGUGGUAUUGGGGCAGUGAAGGACAAGGAAGGAAUGGUGGGAGGUGUCUCACAGUGAUUGAAUUGCUAGCAGGUCAAGUACACACAACAGAGGUCGAGAAGUUGCUUAAGGAGAUGGGUUAACCGAAGUGGGAGUGACAGAGUAGCGUGUAGAUUCUGUGGUGGGAUAGCCACGUAUCUUGAGAAAGUUUAGGGCGAUUUGCGGAAUCGUGAUGGAAGGUGAUUUGGUCUACGAAUUUUAUUUAGGAUGGUGGCUAAUGUACCGAGGGAGAUGGAAUAUGGCAAAGAGGAGUUUGCUUGAAAUGAAGAGGGGUGUGAAGACUUGAUUAUCGUUUUUGGAUGCAACAUGACUCCGGGUUUUAAAUGUAUUGUCAGAUUUUCAGUUGAUGUCGAUGGGGAGUGAAAAGACUUCUACAACUGGUGGACGAGCAUAGGCUCAGGAGGGUUUACUCGAUUCGUGGUAGUUGUACCCAAUGCAGCGCCGUUGGAAGAUGUCGGUAUGGAAUUUCCACAGGUGGGUUAUCUCCUGUGAACAGAUUGGCGGUUGCGUGAGGUUGAUGAACUUUCUACGAAGAAUUCUACUUACUACUCGGCAGGAGGUCGAGUACGCGAUUAUGGCUGAUAAUUCAGAAUGUUCAUGAAAAGUUUAAUAAGAAUCUACAAGAUAUUUGGCGGGUUGACGGUGCGAGAUCAUGGUAAUUGAGAAGGAGAAAUCCUUGCGGGUUCUAGGUUUAUAUAAUUGUAGCUUAAAGCUAAGUGGGGGAGCCCCACCAUCUAUGAAUGGAUCACGUGGUUGUCUGCUUGUGCGGUUUUUGGUUAUCGGUGUAUUGGUGGGUUAUUAUGACUAAGGAAAGAAAACAUCAUGGGUAAUUCGAGCAAAGAAAUUGAUAAAUGUACACUAUAUUAUGCCUUAUCGAUUCAUCUACAGGUUUUGGGAAGACUUAGAGUUUAUGCUUCUUGUGGAUGUCAUGUACAAGGAAAAGAAUUCAGUUGGCUGCUUCUUUGAGAGGGUGUUCAUGUGCUAGUAGAGCGUUGAAGUUUGGUUAUAUUCGGAAUCAGGUCAGAGUUGUAAUACCCCGGAAAAUUUUGAAGUACUUAAGUGGUAAGCCCGGUAAAUUUUGCAAAGAAAAUAAUGUUUCAUGGAGAAGCCGCGGCUCGGACUUUUUGGGUUGAACAAUGCACUGAAAAGUAAAGAAAAAUUUUCGGCGGAAAAGUGCAUUUAUGCGGUCCAUUAUGCGACCGCAGAAUCACUCUGCGGACCGCAUAAUGGCCGCAAAGUGAGGCAGUUAAUUGGGCCAAUUGGAAGCAAUUAUGCGAUCGACUAUGCGACCGCAUAACAGUUAUGCGGACCGCAUAGUGACCGCAUACACGGACAGUUCUUUUGGCUAUUUUGUAACCAACUAUGCGACCGAUAUGCGGUCCGCACAUCGGUUAUGCGAUCGCAUACCUUGUUCUGGAGCUUCAUUUUUGGGUUUUUAAAACUCGACCCUAUUUCGUUAAAUACACUCUUUGGGUCAUUUUUGAGCUAUUAUCUGACAUUUUAGAGUGAGAGAAGGUGCCCUAGAGUGAGAAGGUGUUCUCCAAUAUUUGUCCUUCAAUUCUUGCCCAAGUUUUGGAAGAUUAAAAAGGGAAACUCACUAGGUCUUCAUCCUAGAGGUAAGGUUCUACACCCUAACCCUCAAUUUCGAAUUUUGUGUAGAAAUGGAUAAUAAGCAAGAUAAUUUCUGGGCAAGAGGAUUGGUUAUUUUACAUGCAUGUAUUAUCAAAGGAUGUAGGAAGAUUGUUGAGCUAAAAAUGAUAAAUGAUUAGGUUGCGGGAUGAUAGAAUCCUCCAUAAAAAGGGCCUUGAAACCUUAAUGCACACCUAGUGUUUGAUAAAAUGCUCAAAUGAGCUAGAACCAUAAUCAUCUUCCUAAUUGUGGUUCAAUUUGUUAUAUUUCUAAAAUAAAUUGAAGUUGCUAAGAAUUCCGGAACGUUUUAGAGUUUAAGGAAGCUCAAUUGAGGUAUGUUGGCUAAACUCCUUGUAAGUUCCGAGAUGUUGAUUAUAAAUCGAGUAUUCCGAUAAGUUUUGUGAUGAAGAUAUAUGUUCAAUUCGUAUUUCAAAUGCUCUUAUCAUAUUGCAUUAUAAAUUGAGGAUGUGUCCCAAACUAUGGAUUACGUAUCCACAUGUUAUAAUUUCUAGUCGUAAUUUAUGUGAAAAUUAUUAUGCCAAGUUGUGUAGAGAUUGCGAUUGUGAUACACCUCCACCCGCAUACAUUGGGGUGAGGCGGCAUGACCGCUUUGUGUGGGGAUUAUGGUAUAGAGAUUGUUAUUGUGACACACAUCCACCCGCAUAUAUAUUGGGGUGAGGCGACAUGACCGCUUUGUGUAGGGAUCAUGAUAUUGUGGGACUGCACCUCCACCUGCUAACAUUGGGGUGAGGCGGUACGACCGCUUUGUGUAUGGUUUUGGUAUUGUUGUGGCACCACCACCCGCAUAUAUUGGGGUGAGGCGGCAUAGCCGCUUUGUGUUGGUAUUGGUAUCGUUGAUGCAUUUUCACACGCAUACAUUGGAGUGAGGCAGCAUAGUCGCUUUGUGUAGGUUCUUGGUACUGUGGUUAUACAUCCACCCGCAUAUAUUGAGGUAAGGCGGUAGGGCCGCUUGAUUAGCAUCGGGUAUUGUACGUACACCUCCACCUGCGUACAUCGGGUGAUUAGAGAGGGUUAUAGAGUAUCUCAUCUUAAAUACUAUAAAUGUUGUUGAUAGCUUUUAAUAAGCUUGCUAUGGUUGAGACGGUUAUCUAUAUUAUUCUAUUGCCGCACUGGUUCAUCAUAAUUAUCUUGUAUUUCUAAAUUCUUAAAUUGGUGUUUAGUUUUCAUACUAGUACUAUUCGACGGUACUAACGUCCUUUUUGCCGGGGGCGCUGCAUCUUUAAAUGGAUGCAGGUGGUUCCACAGCAGGAGACAUUGAUCAGUGAUAGUAGUACACCUUCUUCCCAACUGACUUGGUGAGCCC